rnacentral:rRNA from 1 species
UACAGAGGGGGCAAGCGUUGUUCGGAAUUACUGGGCGUAAAGGGCGCGUAGGCGGCCUGCUAAGUCGAACGUGAAAUCCCCGGGCUCAACCCGGGAACUGCGUCCGAUACUGACAGGCUUGAAUCCGGGAGAGGGAUGUGGAAUUCCAGGUGUAGCGGUGAAAUGCGUAGAGAUCCGGAGGAACACCAGCGGCGAAGGCGGCGUCCUGGACUGGUACUGACGCUCAGGAGCGAAAGCGUGGGGAGCGAUCCGG